GUAUGUGUAACUGGGUCACCAUGCUGUACAGUAGAAAAUUGACAGAACACUGUAAACCAGCAGUAAUGGAAAAAAAAUAAAAAUCAUUAUAUAAAAAAAGAAAUGGAAAAAAAUCUCAGUAGACAUAUAACAAGUAAAGAGAUUGAAUUCAUAAUUUAAAAAAAUUCCCACCAAGGAAAGCCGUUAGAUGGCAUCUCUGGUGAAUUUUACCAAAUAUUUAAAGAAAAAUGAAUACCCAUCUUUUACAAAGUCUUCAAAAAACAACAAACAAAAAAGAAGAACAUUUCCCAAUUUGUCAUGAGGCUAGUAUUACCCUGAUACAAAACCCAGACAAAGACAUCACAGGAAAAGAAAACUAUAUACCAUUAUUUCUCAUGAAUACAUAUAUAAAACUCUCAACAAAUACCAGCAAACUGAAUCCAUCAACAUGACCAAUUGAGAUUUAUUCCAGGAGAGCAAGGUUGGUUCAACAUAAAAAAAAUCGAUCAAGGAGUUCCCAUCACAGCUCAGUGGAAACAAAUCCAACUAGUAUCCAUGAGGAUACAGGUUUGGUCCCUGGCCUUGAUCAUUGGGUUAAGGAUCUGGCAUUUUGCCAUGAGCUGUGGUGUAGGUUGCAGACAUUGGCUCGGAUCCAUCAUUGCCGUGGCUGUGGAAAUAAGUUAUAUCCUAGAACAUUUUAUGUAAAUCUGACUUAAAAUUUAAAUAUAUUCACUGGCUAUCAAGAAAUUGUUGAAAUCAUAAGAAUAUAGAAAGAAUACUCAUAAGAAAAACAGCUUUAAGAAUUCAGGAUCACGAGUUCCCCCUGUGAUGCAGUGGGAUUGUUGGCAUCUUGGGAGCCCUGGGACACAGGUUUGAUCCUAGCCCAGCACAGUGGGUUAAGGAUCCUGUGUUGCUGAAGCUGCAGCUUAGAUUGCAGCUGUGGCUUGGAUAUGAUCCCUGGCCUGGGAACUUCAUAAUCCAGGGCAGCCAAAAAAAAGAUUUCAGGAUUAUAGGAGGAAAUAAUAUAUUUAUAAGAAAAAUAAAUGUUCCCAUGAUCCUUGGAUUUCAACAAAAUGGAGUCUUUAUAAUGCUGCCAGGAUUCAAGAGUUUCCCUUAAGACAAGUUUUUGGCAAACAAACAAACUUGGGAAAUUGGAUGAACUCAUCUGUUGGCACACUGACCACAAGCAGUGGUUCUCAAACUUUAGCUUUGGGGUGGGGGGGCUGUUAAACAAAGAUGGCCUGACCCACACCCAGGGGUUUUGCCCAGUAGGUCUGGAGUGGAGCCCAAGAAUCUGCAUUUCUGACAGUCUGAGAGCACGCUUUGAGAACCACCAAGCUGCAGUGGUGCCUGGUGGAGGCUGGCUGAAUGAAUGAGUCGAUGCCAGCCUGACAGGCCUUGCCUUGGCCAUCAGAACCCUCUGUGUGCCUGAAGGCCACUGUCCAGUCUGCCUUCCAUGCCUCUGGCAGCCUCAGGGCCCCUCCCUACUCCAGGGUCCCUGGAACAAGGGCCAGGCUCUCCUGUGACCAGGGCACGUGGAGGGUGAGGUCUCAGGGCCUGUGUCUCUGGAGCAUCAGCAGUCCCAAGACGCGAACCUCUGUCUCCUGGCAGCUGGACAGGUCCCAGAAGGCCACUGUCACCAGAUGAUCUGGCAGAAAAGGCAGCAGCCCUGACUGGUCCCUCAAAGUGCAGGGCAGUGCCAGGAGCUGCUCUGCUUCCCUGCAGCUGGGAGCAAAUCAUGGUGUCACUGCCCUGGGGCCCCAUGACUUGGGAACACCAGCCUUCCAGAAACAGCAGUGUUUGCGUGGGAUUCUCAUUUCCUGGCCAGACCACAGCUCACAGCAAAGUGGGUCCUACCAGACCCCAGAGGCCAGUGGGAGGGAAGCGGGAGGCCCAAAAUAGCCAAGGCCAGUGAUUACAGGGCUGGGCUGCCCCCACCCAGCUCCACACCCACCACUGCCCUCCGCAGGAGAACCGUGGUCCAGUGGGAUGGGCAGGCAGGCCAUGGAGGGGGACAGAAGAGUCUAGGAGGGCCUUAGGGGGUGCCUUGGCCAUCCCUGGGUCUGGUCCUGACUCUGCACGGCUAGAGGCAGGGGCCCUGAGGGUCACGUUACAUCCUGCAACCUUCCAUGGCCCAAGCCCAUCUGCCCUGUGACCUCUGCCCCUACCCCUCUGGGCUUCUGGUCCCAGACCUCCCUGCCCAGGGUAAGUGGAGUGGACAGACCCAGCCUUGUGGCUGGGGAGUAGCCUGGGCCAGGAAAGAGCAGCCACAGGCAAAACCACGGGCAGGUUCUGCUUUGAAAAAGGCAACAAAAAUAGCAAGAGGUUAUAGAGAGGGGAGGGGCUGAGGGUGCCAAAGACAGACAGAAUUGCGCACAAGGACAGGGACACAGACUGGGAGAAGGCAGACAAGAGACACAGGGAAACAACUGGAUGUUCGAAAGAGCACACAGCCAAGCAGGUGUGAAGGGGCCGGAAGCAAAGGGGUGAGCUGCCUGCGGUCAGGGGGAGCCCAGGACCCAGGCCCUGGGAACCACGAAGCCCAGACUCAAGAGCAGGCCUAGGGCUAGUAUGAGGCCCAGCCUGACACCCUCAGUUCUCUGCACAUGGCUGGCAGAUCCUGGGCGGCACAGGAGUGGGCAGGCAGUCUGGGGAGCCGGGCAGGCUGUACUCACCAACACACCUAUUCCUGGGGGAGAAACUGCUCUUAUCCCCACUGACAGAUGGGAAAACUGAGGCUCACAGAAGCAAAGAAACAUGCUGUGGCCUUACAGCAAGUGAGGGCCAGAAACAGGCUUGACCCCAGGCUCCUCUUGGGCUCCCACUCGCCCUGCACUCGAGCCCGCCCAGCCUCACCACUCCACAGGCUACAUGGGGACACCAAGAACAGAGAAACCAACAAACGGUCAUCAGCACAACUGCAUGGUACCGUGAGCCCCUUACCGCUCGGGGGAACCCUCAGCCCGGUGACCCCUGGCCCAGUGCGCAGAGGUUAUGACACAUGGUUUCUGGUUAAUAAGUUCUAGCUGGGCCAGUGUUGCAAGAUCAGACCAUUUAGACCAGCUUCCUGGCCCGUCUCUAGGGGACCUGGUGGCCCAGGGUCAGGGACGUUCCCAGUGGUCACCAAGCCCUUGGCAAGCGAAAGUCCUCCUGCCUCGUUUUCAUUUUCCCAAGAAGAUCUCUUCACUUGUCUUUGUUCCACACCCUCUGUGGGACCCUAACUGGGCAGGUCACUUCCACUGCAGCCUGGGCAGCUCUGCCAGGACAGUCACAGGCUUUUCCUGCCACCGUGGUGAUGGUAAAGCCCAUGUGAUGUCCCGCUGGCUCACGGCCAGUCCCAGUCCCAGUCUCUCAGGGCCUCCAGGUGUAUCCCCACCCUCCGCUGAGAACUUCAGCUCCAGCCCCCAGCGUCCUGUUGGCUUGUGAACAUAUUAGGUGCCUCCAGUUCAGGGCCUUUGCACUGACUCCUGCACAGACAGCCUGCGGAAACCUCUACACUUUAGGGUCAGCACUUCUUGUUGUUCGGAUCUCAACCCAAACAUCCCUCCAGACUGCCUCACAUCAAUUAACUCCCGGCUCAUCACUGCCAAGAUGGUGUAUGGGCUGAUGUCCAGCUGGUCAGCCCUGUGAAGAGGGGCCUCUCUUGUGUCUCACUUAGUGUCUGGGAAUACCUACUUCAAGACUGAUGACCCUUCCUAGCUGCUGCCCACCACCUUUCAACCGGGGCCAUCCUGCUGGGACACACAGAUGCUGAGGGCCCUAUUGAGGCUGUUUCCCUGGGCUCUGGACAGAAGGCCUAGCUAUGUCCUCUCCCCCUGCCGUUGGCACAGGCUCACUGGCUCCAGAAGGAGAAGAAAGUGGCUCUGGGAAGCAGAGGAAGCGCCCAUCACCACCCAGGGCCGGGGAAGCAGGGCUCCAGAGGGGCUGCCAGACCAGACACAAUGAGGUCACCUACUGGGUGGGAGGCUUGUGGCCAGGGAUAUUCACGAGGCAGGUGGGCCCAGCCUGGGCAAAGGCUAAGAAGCAGGGUGGGAGGCAGCUCCCUGACACACAGGUGGACAAAGCACAGAUGGUGACAAGGACUUGGCUUCCUGUCUCUCAAACCUUGGUAGAGGGGGUGGUAGAAGAGAUCUGUCCAGCAGGGGAGAACAGGUCACACACAGCCCCCUUCCAUAGAGGCCCUCCCCCGCACCCAUCCUGCACACCCCCACAGCCGGGGCUGAGCCCUGGGGGCUGGGAGCCACUGUGCCUGCCUGAUUCCAGGUCCAUGAGAGUGGGUGGACAGAGUGUCAUGACCACAGACACUAGGACCACAACCCAUGCUAUGAUGAAGGACACUUCACUCAGCUAAGACACAGGAGCUCUGCCAGGAGCCAGGAGCACCAGCCCCCUGGCAGCCAGCUCUGGGAACUCAUUGGGGGAUGGAAAGGCUGACCUGAGCUCCCUCUUGAAGGCUUGGGGAGGCUCAGGUCUGGACAGCUGUGUCUAGAUGUGGAGGAGACAGUGUGUGCAGCAGGGGGACUAGGAGGAGCACCAAGGCGGUCUCCCCCGCCUGGAUCAUCUGGUCCCCAAGCCCAGACAUAGUCCCAGCGGCUUCUGACUGGCCAAAGAAGCCCCUCAACCCCAGGAUGCAGGGGUGUCUUGGUGAAGCUAACUCCACCUCCCCAGAAGCCCUGUAAGGAAGAACCUGAGCAGGCCAUUUUAAAGAUGAGGAUACAGAGGCCUGAAAGGGCAGGGCCAGGUCACCCAGCAGGGAAGGCUGUGGUGUGAUUCUUAUCCAUCAACCCAGACCCAGCCAGGUGUGUCAGUGCUGCCCUAAAACAAGCCUCACCUCACCUCUUGGGCCACCCUGACCCCACACCUCAUGGUAUCCUCCCACCGGGGGCACAGGGGCUUCCCCCCUACGCCCUGUCUACCAGGCACCAACCCGGACUCCAGGGAUUCUCAAAGACCCCACAACGGGUAGGAGAGGAGGUGCAGAACCCUCCCCCAACACACACACAUACACACCAAGAAAAGGCAAACACAAACGCACUCCCACACCAACCCCCCCAACACACACACACACACACACGCACACACCCCCACGGCAGGAAAAAGCAAAGAAAGGCAGAGGUCAGAAUCUGCCCCAGGGCUUCCGAAGCCCCAGGCAGCCUGUUUAGCCAGCGGGUGAGACGGCCACGCCGUCCCUGUCUCUGAGGCCUUGGGAGACCCGGUCCCGAGGGGGAAGACGCUUGCGGGCAGCCGGGACACAGGCGGGGCAUCUGGAGCUUUUUGAGUCCACCCGCCCUGCCUCCCACCCCGGGAAGACACAUCAGCUGGCGCUGAGGAAUGCCCUACGGUACUUCCCCCCGCAUGUCCAGGAGCUACUGGCCCUCGAGUUCGUCUAGCAGCUGCAGCUAGCUGUACAGGUACAUCUACAUGUAUCGGUUCUGCCCUGACUUGGAAAUGAAGUGAGUGUGGGGUUGGGGGGGCAAGCUUCAGAGGCCAGAGUGGGGGGAUUGGGGGUGCUUCCCAGAGGUACCCUGCCCAGGUCGGGACGCAGCCAGAGGGGAGUGCAGGCCGUCCACUUUAGGAGGGCUGUGGCCACAUCCCCCGAGGGCCAGGCUUGGGGCUGCAGCUAGCCCUAGGCAGAAGGACCUGCCUUCCUCACAGUCCCCAGGGGAUGCUGCCUAGCCCUGUAUCACAUUCUGAGCACCAUUGUCCUUGAAAACACCAGAAGACCAGACUGUCUGGAACAACCCCACAAAGCAGGCACCGUGUCCCCUCGCUCCUGUCCAGGCCUGCUGGCCUGGCACCCUCUCCAGAAUUGCUCAGGAGCCCUGGUGGUGCAAAGGAAAGGACAGGUAAAUAAAGUCUGUCAGGAGGGGAAGCUUCAGCUUUGCUUUGCCAGCAGCUUUCUCCCUGUUGGAGCCUUCCAGGGACUGGGGGAGGGCAUGGGUGGGAUGGGGCUGAACUGCCCAUCCUAGGAAGGGCCAGCAAAGCACAAGUACUUCAGACCCACCUCCUGGCGGGAGCUCUGAGGUACCUCCUGUGGGGUGCCAGGGCUCACUGUCCAUACCUGAGCAGCCCGGGGCUGGGCCGAGGCCAGGCUGGGCCUGAGUUUUAGCAGGAAGGAGGCCUCUGCCCCCUGUCUUUUGUCAUGCCUGGCAGCUGGACUCCCUCGUAGGGCCGUGGAACAGUACCGCUGCUGGACUAAAGCCGCUGCAGCCAUCAUGCACAUGAUCAGGAACAACCUGGACCCUGCCUGCUGUGGCCCAGGCACAGCUCUGCUCCCAGCCCCCCGUCCACCCCUCUUUUCCGGUGAUUUCCAACUACCCCAGGAUAGAAGUGAGAAAUCUUUGCCAUGAGGAUUACCAUGUAAGAAAAUAUUCCCUAUACUAAGAAGACAGCAAUUGAGAUGGGAGCUAUGCAUUUGGGGUUCCCUGAAGAUGUAAACUACUUGGAAGUCAACAGAAUUUUGAAUCACCUGCUGAUCACCACUGCUGCUCUGUUAAAAGUGAAGCUUCAAACCUUAGCAAGGGACUGACUCCAGACAUCUUCCUGCAGGACCAGAUCAAAGGAAGAUGGAGUACUGGGGAGAGCAAAUGGAGGGUGAGGGAGACUGGUGGAUGAAAGUAGAAAACAAAAGUUUCAGGGCUCUUUGAAGAGGCAAUUAAGAAAAGUAAUCUGGACAACAAAGAAGGAAAAUCAGGACAAGAUUUAAUUAUGUCCCCAACUUUGCUAGUUGUGUUAGCCCAUGUGUAUUUUCCUGGAGAAAUGAGCAGUAAAAUCCUUCAGUAAUUACUGAAAUAAAAACAACUGAAUUUAAAAGUUAAGCUAAGAAAUCUUCAUUUAAUACUAAAAACAACACAAAAAGUCUUUGUUCUCAAAGACAACAAAGAGUAUGUGAGCUGAGAGGCUGAUGACCAGCUUGUCAAGAAGAGGUCAGAGACAGGAAAAGUGUUUGAAUGAAGAAAGGGGUAAACAGGAUACUACAGUGGGAGAGAAAAGAGUGUGCAAAUAAUAUAGAUUCAAAUCUAGACUAUGCCACUUCUGUGUUAUGAGAUCUUGGGCAGAAUACCAAAAUUCUUCAAGUCUUGCCUUCAUCACUAGCAAAAAAAAAAAAAAAAAAAAGAAGAAGAAUUAUUA